AAGAGUUUAGGCUUAUUUCCUUGAUUCAUGGGCUCUAUAAAGUGGUGGCAAAGGUCCUGGUCAAUAGGAUCAAACCAAUUAUCUCAAAGAUUAUCAUCCCAAACUAGAGUGCCUUUAUUAGUGGACGUAAAAUUAUUAAUAGCUUUCUUGCAGCCAAUGAAGUAAUUGAUUUAUGCAAGAAAUUAAAUCGAAGCUGCUUUCUAUUCAAAUUGGACUUUGAGAAGUCCUUUAACAAAGUACAAUGGAAUCAUAUGAUAACACAAUGUUAUGUAUGGGCUUUGGCAUUAAAUGG
rnacentral:misc_RNA from 1 species